rnacentral:rRNA from 1 species
GGAGUUAGCCGGUGCUUCUUCUGCGAGUAACGUCACAGAUGUAAGGUAUUAACUUACACCCUUUCCUCCUCGCUGAAAGUGCUUUACAACCCGAAGGCCUUCUUCACACACGCGGCAUGGCUGCAUCAGGGUUUCCCCCAUUGUGCAAUAUUCCCCACUGCUGCCUCCCGUAGGAGUCUGGGCCGUGUCUCAGUCCCAGUGUGGCUGAUCAUCCUCUCAGACCAGCUAGGGAUCGUCGCCUAGGUGAGCCUUUACCUCACCUACUAGCUAAUCCCACCUGGGCUUAUCCAUCAGCGCAAGGCCCGAAGGUCCCCUGCUUUCCCCCGUAGGGCGUAUGCGGUAUUAGCAGUCGUUUCCAACUGUUAUCCCCCACAAAUGGGCAAAUUCCCAGGCAUUACUCACCCGUCCGCCGCUCGUCAUCUUCAAAAGCAAGCUUUGAAAUGUUACCGCUCGACUUGCAUGUGUUAGGCCUGCCGCCAGCGUUCAAUCUGAGCCAUAAUCAAAACUCUGA